UACAGAGGGUGCAAGCGUUAAUCGGAAUUAUUGGGCGUAAAGCGUACGUAGGCGGUCACGUAAGUCAGAUGUGAAAUCCCCGGGCUUAACCUGGGAACUGCAUUUGAAACUGCGAGACUAGAGUAGGAUAGAGGAAGGCGGAAUUUCCGGUGUAGCGGUGAAAUGCGUAGAGAUCGGAAGGAACACCAGUGGCGAAGGCGGCUUUCUGGAUUCAUACUGACGCUGAGGUACGAAAGCGUGGGGAGCAAACAGG
rnacentral:rRNA from 1 species